CCCUAGCCCUGAUAGAAGUGGAAAUCCUUUUGCGCCGGGGUUCGGCGGAAAAGAUUGAAACGGAUAGCAGGAAUUUGC
rnacentral:sRNA from 1 species